UACAGAGGGGGCAAGCGUUAUUCGGAAUUAUUGGGCGUAAAGGGCGCGUAGGCGGCUUUGCAAGUGGCGGGUGAAAUCCCUCGGCUUAACCGAGGAACUGCCUGUCAAACUGCAUGGCUUGAGACCAGGAGAGGUGAGUGGAAUUCCCAGUGUAGCGGUGAAAAUGCGUAGAUAUUGGGAGGAACACCAGUGGCGAAGGCGGCUCACUGGACUGGUACUGACGCUGAUGCGCGAAAAGCGUGGGGAGCAAACAGG
rnacentral:rRNA from 1 species